CGCACGUUCCACAUUAGUCAUUGGUAUCUUCUUGGGAAGAGCAAACUCUGGCACACUUUGGCCAAUUGUAAUUUUUGUUGUAUUUCUUACGGUUCGCAAACAGCGACAAAAAUUGCGAAUACAGUCAAGUCCGUCUAUAACGAACCCGUUUAUAGCGAACUCCCGGCUAUAACGAACUUUUUUGAGGAUUUGUACUUUGGCCAUCGAAUUUGCGUCUUUUCUUAUAUUGCGAACCUUGGAUAUAGCGAACCUGUUUCUAAGACAAGUAAGGGUUCGUUAUAGCCGGACUUGACUGUAAGUAAAAAUUGGGAUGACCGGAAAUGUGUGAAAAGUGAAAAUGCAAUUUUACGGCUAUUUAUUGUGCGCUCUUAUUUUUUUUUCUCUAAUUAAUAAUAAUCAUAAUGUCUUGGGCAGUUACAUAUGAAACAACUGAUGAAACAACAACAAAAAAGUGAGGAAAAAAAAUACACAAAAUUAUAGUAAAAAAAACUAAACAAACUAUAGCAGACUGAAUAACAUGGUUUAUUCCAGUCCGAACUUCGCCCCAUUAAGUCACCCCUUAUGUCAGGGGUGCUCACAAUCUUGAACUGCUGACGAUCUACCUCAAUGUUGUUAGACUCUAAUCGAUCGACUCUAAGAGACUGCAAGUAUAUGAUAUAUGAAAAUACUGUACAUAGAAUUAGUUAAUUAGUGGAAACGGUAGAAUUUAGUUUUCCCCAAAAUCCAUUUUCUUUAAAUCAAGGUAGGUGUAGGUCUGCUCUGAAAAUCGCAAAUAAUUCUCGAGAUCGACGUUUGAGGACCACUGCAUUAUGUAAUGUAAUGUACUAUCUGUUCUUUGUAUAAUCUGUACUCAAUAAAUGUCAUUAUUAUUAUUACCAUAUCUAAAUGUCCAAAGGACCAAGAUCACAAAUAAAGAAAUAUUUUUUCGUGUUCUUCUAGUUAACCAAGAAAUUGAAUUAAACAUGUGAACUGUAUGCAUGACCUCAAAAUUGCAAUGUACCAUUCUUUUUCAAAGUGUAUCUGUAUCUCAAGAUGGGAGGGAAGUCUGAAAAAUUUUAAGGUUAGUAUACCCCUAACAGUUAUGUAUUCCAGAAGUAUCGAUCCCACAAGUUUAAUAUCUUUUUCUCUAGGUGGCGAAAUGCACUUUUUUCUUUUGAAAUUACUUAUCCAGGUUUAUAAUUAUUAUUUUUGUGUCUGCGGUUUAAUAAUAAUCCCUUAUUUGCUCAACAGAAAGACAUAACCUUUCCAAUUUCAGAGCAAAAACAACAUUUUACAACCUGCCAGAGUACAAUAGAGUUCAAUAUAAACCAAAAA